rnacentral:rRNA from 1 species
CAAUAGCGUAUAUUAAAGUUGUUGCAGUUAAAACGCUCGUAGUCGGAUUUCGGGGCCUGCCUGCCGGUCUGCCGAUGGGUAUGCACUGGCAGGCGCGUCCUUCCUUCCGGAGACUGUCCCUACUCUUAACUGAGCGGGGUCGGGAGACGGAUCGUUUACUUUGAAAAAAUCAGAGUGUUUCAAGCAGGCAGCUCGCUCUUGCAUGGAUUAGCAUGGGAUAAUGAAAUAGGACUUUGGUGCUAUUUUGUUGGUUUCGAACACCGAAGUAAUGAUUAACAGGGUCAGUCAGGGGCACUCGUAUUCCGCCGAGAGAGGUGAAAUUCUCAGACCAGCGGAAGACGAACCACUGCGAAAGCAUUUGCCAGGGAUGUUUUCACUGA